CACAUGUUCAAGUAACAUUGGCAGUGAAUUUGGGCUUCAUUUCCAGCUAAGGUGUAGAUUCAUGUUUAAUAUGAUAUGGGAAGUUUAAUUCCAACUUGACUAUCGGGUUCUGCAAGGAGAGAAGAAGAGGGGGAAGUUUAAUUCAAAUUCACAUGCAGAUGAAUCUGAACUUGAAUCUGAACAAAUCAUAUAUAUACAUAUUUUCUUGAUGCCUGCAAUCCAACAGUUACACUUAAUUUUCUCUAUUUUAAUUAACACAUUUGAUUGUGAUAUUCUUAGUUGGUGAAUUAUUUGGUCAUGUACGAAAGAGGCAGCCUUGGGCUGAUCCGAAGAUUGUCAAGCAACUCGUAGAUGCAAACUUAUAUGCAUUACUUGGGGAAAGAACUGCAGCAGAUGAUGAAAA